UACGAAGGGGGCUAGCGUUGUUCGGAAUCACUGGGCGUAAAGGGCGCGUAGGCGGCUUUGUAAGUCGGGGGUGAAAGCCUGUGGCUCAACCACAGAAUUGCCUUCGAUACUGCAUGGCUUGAGACCGGAAGAGGUAAGUGGAACUGCGAGUGUAGAGGUGAAAUGCGUAGAUAUCUGGAGGAACACCGGUGGCGAAGGCGGCAUCCUGGACCGACACUGACACUGAGGAGCGAAAGCCAGGGGAGCAAACGGG
rnacentral:rRNA from 1 species